UACGUAGGGUGCGAGCGUUGUCCGGAUUUAUUGGGCGCAAAGAGCUCGUAGGCGGUCUGUCGCGUCGGAUGUGAAAACCCAGGGCUCAACCCUGGGCCUGCAUUCGAUACGGGCAGACUAGAGUACGGCAGGGGAGGCUGGAAUUCCUGGUGUAGCGGUGAAAUGCGCAGAUAUCAGGAGGAACACCGGUGGCGAAGGCGGGUCUCUGGGCCGAAACUGACGCUGAGGAGCGAAAGCGUGGGGAGCGAACAGG
rnacentral:rRNA from 1 species